GCGGACUGUGGGAACUGAUUUGGAUAGGAAUAUUUUGAAGGAGUACUUGACUGAAAUAGCUGACCACGGAUUUAUUUCGGAUCUCUUCAAGUUAUUUGGAAAUUAGUUCUCGGCUCAAUGUUGUAUAUAAAUUGGGUAUGGGCCCUUUAGUAAAUAAGGCGUCAUAUAACUUGCAUUGGCUUUCUAAACCCCAAAUGCGACAGUUUUGCUUAUUAACAUAACCACCGAGGUGGAAAUGGGCCUUAUUAAAAACACGAUUUUUCGGUAAAAAUGGUCAUCUUCGACCAAGCGCUCCUGAGCCCAUUCCGCGAACCGAAAACGCAUUGAAUGGUCAUGCAGCUUAAGCUACUGAACCAACAGAAUCUAAUAUGGCCUUAGACGAAGGUCUUUGGUUAAAAUCCGCUGCAGGAAAGUGCACAAAAUGUCCAACUCUUGAACAUGGUGCCGAGUCGACGGAUUGUCAUUGACACAUUCGGCCACAUUGGAUGUUUUCGACCAACCGAACUGAAUGAGCACGUAAACGUGUUUUUUUUUAUCCAUCAACGAUCCAGUCUCACGCACAAGCUUCACAAAACUAUCCACAAACUAUCUGAUAGGCGUUUCAUUGUUUCCGAAUUUUGACCGCAAUUUUCUUGCAGUUUCUGACACAUUGACAAUGACAUUCGAAAUAUCAAAGUCAAAAUUAUCGAUAGUUCAAAAAGCAAACGCUAGAUGGCCCACCCUUUAGUAUCGGCGCACUCCCAACUACUCCUACAAAAUGGUUUUAGCCGAGUCAGAAUUGCCUGAAAUUGGAAGGACUACCAAGUUGGAUUGAUAUCUACAGAAUGGGGAAUACGCGCAGUGGUAAAAACUUUGGAAAAAUAAUGAAAAUGCACCGAGUUCAAUUGGGAAGACCCCAUCGAAGGAUCCGACAUUGAUAUGGUAGAAAAAACUAUUAUAGAAAACGGCUAAGCCUGCUGCAAAACUCACAGAGAAAGUCAUGCAAAAGAUUAUUGGAAUGGUAGAGUCUGGAUAAGUAUAAGCAAAAGAUUGGAUUGAUAUCUAUAGAAUGGGGAAUACGCGCAGUGGUAAAAACUUUGGAAAAAUAAUGAAAAUGCACCGAGUUCAAUUGGGAAGACCCCAUCGAAGGAUCCGACAUCGAUAUGGUAGAAAAAACUAUUAUAGAAAACGGCUAAGCCUGUUGCAAAACUCACAGAGAAAGUCAUGCAAAAGAUUAUUGGAAUGGUAGAGUCUGGAUAAGUAUAAGCAAAAGGACGCGCAUCUGCUUGUAACCCUGUAAUUUAAGGAGAAGGUGAAAACUGCGAAUUUUGCAGUAAUAACGCCAUUGAUAAAAUAUGGACUAUGGCAAUUAUUUGGUUUUUAUUUUGUAGCCAUAUAAGGCUUUAUCCGUUGGAGAAAAAGCUUAAAAAGCUGUUGUAAAAUUGUUAUCCCAAAGAUUGUAAGUAGUAUCAUAACAGUAUGCUACGCCAUUUACAGAAGCCCCUACUUUUAAUCACAAUCGGACCGAUUCAAACUUAUUUCCGCUUAUUUGCAUUAAUAGACAAAGGAUCCUCCGCCGCUUAAAUAAAUGAAGUUGGCCCAAAAAAUGGGCA